rnacentral:lncRNA from 1 species
AUGCAUCUAUCACUAGGGAUUGAACACAAGAAAAAUCUGUUAUAUAAAAUGUGCUGUUCAGAUCCAUGUCCAGCAUUACUGAUGCUUUCUUUAAAAUGUAUUAGCAUCCUGCAUACAAGAAAAGAAGAAAUGAUUUAUUAAGAAAAUACUUUUUCUGUUCCUGACUGUGGUUGGUACUCUGGGGAACAUGUCUGUUUCUGUGAAUUAUAUGUUCAGUUGUUGGGGAAGCCCUGAGAAGAGACCCAUACACCUUAUUCUGAUCCACACGGCUUUUACAAACAUCCUAAUCCUUCUUGCCAAAGGACUGCCUAAGACAAUAGCAGCCUUUGGUUUGAGAAACUUCCUAGAUGACAUAGGCUGUAAGAUCAUUGUUUACCUAGAGAGGGUGGCCCGUGGCCUCUCCAUCUGCACCAGCAGUCUCCUCACUGUGGUCCAGGCCAUCAUUAUCAGUCCUAGAGGAUCUGGGUGGAGGAGGCUCAGGCCAAAGUCUGCAUAGCACAUCCUUCCAUUCCUCUCAUUCUUUUGGAUACUCAAUGCUUUGAUAAAUGAGAACCGCAUCAAUAACAUCACAAAUACAAGCCUGAAUGUAUAACAGGAUAAGAAUGACAACAAUAAUUGUUAUUUUAUGUUACCACGUCAUAAAAUAAAAUGGAUUUUUCUUAUCCUCAUGGUCUUGAGAGAUGCAGUGUUUCAGGGUGCCAUGGGAGGUGCCAGUGGCUACAUGGUAUUUCUUCUCCACAAGCACCACCAGCAUGUCCUCUACCUUCAGAGCUCCAAGCUUCUCUACAGAACUCCCCCUGAGCUGAGAGCUGCUCAAAGUGUUCUCCUUCUGAUGCUCUGUUUUGUUUUCUUCUACUGGACAGAUUGUGCCUUUUCUCUAGUUUUAAGUCUCUCUUCAAGGGACAAGACCUAGAUGGCAAAUACUCGAGAAUUUCUGGCCCUUGGUUAUGCAACUUUUAGCCCCUUUGUGCUGAUUCACAGGAAUGGGCUUCUGGUUAAAUGUUGUCAUGCUCAGUUGAAGAAACAGAAAAUAUCUCUCAUUUGUGUGCUCAACAAGGAAGAAAAAAUUCUCAGUUCUGCGAUAUUGUAGGUAA